AGAAUCAACGCUGGCGGCGUGCCUAACACAUGCAAGUCGCACGAGAAAGGGUAGCAAUACCUGAGUAAAGUGGCGCACGGGUGAGUAACACGUGAAUAAUCUACCUCCGAGUGGGGAAUAACUGAGAGAAAUCUUAGCUAAUACCGCAUAACACUUACGAGUCAAAGCAGCAAUGCGCUUGGAGAGGAGUUCGCGGCAGAUUAAUUAGUUGGCGGGGUAAUGGCCCACCAAGACGAUGAUCUGUAUCCGGCCUGAGAGGGCGCACGGACACACUGGAACUGAAACACGGUCCAGACUCCUACGGGAGGCAGCAGUGGGGAAUUUUGCGCAAUGGGGGAAACCCUGACGCAGCAACGCCGCGUGGAGGAUGAAGCCCCUUGGGGUGUAAACUCCUUUCGAUAGGGAAGAUAAUGACGGUACCUAGUAGAGAAGCCCCGGCUAACUUCGUGCCAGCAGCCGC
rnacentral:rRNA from 1 species